AAUGGUCCUACUGCUUCUGUGGUGGUGCUGCUGAGGAGUGGUGGGUCUCCUGGCAAAACCUGGAGCAGGAACCAUUUGGAGGCUGCAGGACUUCUUGCAUCUUCUCCUGUGCAGUGGCUGGGACUGGCUUCUCACACUCUUCUUCAUCUGGAUGCUGGAGAGGCUCCUGCACUGCCAACUGCUGUGGCUGUGCAACAGCUGUUACUUACAAAGCUAAUGAAAACCGUGAUUCACACAGUGAGCAGGCAAGUUCUCCAGAGAUUUCCUUCACUCUUAAUGGUUCUUGCAAUUUUCAGGACCUUAAGAGAGACAGCUGUCACUGCUGUCACUUUUGUGUCUCGUUUGUUUUUCACCUUGAAUAACUGAAGAAGAGUUAUUGCUAUCCUCAUUUCCACUGCUGAGGAGGAUACCAUAUCUUUGUCCAAGAAAAAUCCUUUGGUUGGUAUGCACUGCAGCCACACUGGAGCAAAUGGGGCAUCAGACAGCAGUGACCACUGACCACAAACAGCUGGUGAGUAUGGUGAAGAUGCUCUCACUCCUUCAUGAGUCUGUAGAAGAAGAAGAAUAGAUCAUCAUGUUUUAAGACAUCUCCCUGUGAUCCCGUCGCUCUCAAAAUCCCUACAGAUAUUUUCAGGAGACUCCAUAGGAAAUAAAGGGUAAUGGUGUUGCUGCAGCUCCUGGGAAUGCAACGGAGUGGAAAACUCUCUGGGGUGUGUUACUGAUAAGUAAAACUCUAAAAAAGGAAGGCCUUGUAAAAUUAUGGCUCAGGCCUGUUACUUCAGCGAAGUAGAAAAAGACUAUGGGACAGAGACUCAGCUGAGUAAGAGGUAGAAAAACCAGUUAUAUAACCAUUGCAUGUUCACACUAUGUGCAGGCUGGUUGAAUUACGUCUGUUAUGCUUUAAAACUGUGUAACUGCUAAUGGGCUAACUGCUUAUAAGGGCCUGGUUUUUGCAAUAAAGGGGUUAAUAAUAAAUAAUUAUAAUAAAUAAAUAAAAUAAAUAAAUCCUCUGCACCUGCCUGGGGACUCUGGGUCUCUGCAGACCCUCACCCACAGGGGUGUACAGCAGGCAGGGCAGGGCAGUUAUGUCUGCACCAUGCUCUGAUGCUCCAGAGCUGCAAGCAGCAGAGCCAUCCGUGGUGAUGCUUCACCCGUGCUGCUAAAAUCUGUGCAGCAAGGAGCCCUCAGAGGCUGCAUUGUUCUGUCACCUGCAUCCAGCACUUGGCACUUAGGUAUACUAUGGAAAUGCUAAUGUCAGGAGGGUUCAGUCAGUUCUGGUGUCCUCAGAAGCCUAGAGCCAUCGGGAUGAAAACAAAAGAUGGUGGGGUGUUCAUUCCCUUAGUGUUCAUCUCUAGUGAUAAGCUCUUCAAAAAGAAGCAUGAAGCUCCAGGCUACACCUGUCUUUUCUCUCCUUCACUUUUACGUUUUAUCUGUUCCCACUUGUGAGAUUAUUCUAGGUGAAUACCCUGUGACAAUGGCUCCCUGGCAGCUCCUUAACCACUGCAAGUCUGCAGUAAUCUGCAGGAUAGUGGUGUUUGGAGGGCGUGGAAACACAGCUGGAAAAAAGGUCUCUAAGUGGUCACCCCCAACAAGAUGUUUUGGGAUGCUCACAAGAAGCAAGAGGAGGGUUUGUUUCAUAUGGUGCCUUGGUAAAUUGCAUUCCACUACCACAUGUUGUAAACCUCUAGCAUCUAGUAUAUGAGUCCAAAAAAUAAACAACUGGGGAAACACAGGAGGAAGUGGGAAGCCCAAACGUAAAGAAUUUACUUUGGACUCUGGAAGUUUCAGAGCCCCAAACUGAGUUUGAGAGAUUAUGCAAAGAAAGUAUCUCUGCUUGUCUUCUUCCUAUCCAGGUAUCUGCAACUGCUGUGUAAGAUACUGGCUGGACGAGCAUUUGGCUAUCCUUGUGUUAACAUUUUCAUGCAAAAAGCUGCCUUUUAGUGACAAAAUCUACAAAAUUAAGGUGACAGCCUCUACACAGUGGGUUGUUUCUGUUUUCCCAAAGUAUUGAGAAUUUGAGCCAGAGGAGAGAGAAAAGCUGAGCUUUUCAUUGCCCUGCAUAUGUAAUUGCUGGGUAUAGUAACCUAAUGAAAAGAACCAGUGCAGGAGUUUAAAAGGAUUAGCAACCCUAAAUGCCAUUUACAGUGACCCAUGAAAUGCUGAGAACUCUGCACACAAUAACACCAUAACAGCAGUCUCUGGAUAUACUGGAGCAAACCUCUGGCCUGUCUGAGACCAAAUCCUGGAAAUUCCUGUGUGCUUAGUAAACAGGUCUGCUCACAACGUGCCGUCCUGCUUGUUCAUGGGGUGUUGGAGAUAGGGAGUGGUAGAUACUGAAGUCAUUAUAAAAUAACAUAAAAUAACAUACCUGGCAUUUGUGGGGGGGUGUGGGGGUGUGAUGUUGAUGCACAGAGUGCAUGCAGAAACUCCCCUUUCCCCAAGCAUCCAGGUGAGGGAAUGAGCCAUGGUCCAGUCCAAAUACACCAUGCAAUUGGUCUAGUUGCAUGUGUUGGUGGACUUUUGUGACCCUUACAAGCACAAAGCAGCCUUGCAUUCGGGGUCCUUGAAAAGCCACCAUCAGAUGGCUGAAGCAGUUUUGGACCCUCCUCAUAUAAAUACCAAAGUAGCAUGUGUGGAGAGGUCAGGACACAGAUAGUCUAUGCAACAUGCAAAGCUUCAAAUUUGCCUUAGUUUGGACAUGAGAGGAAGGGCCAAAUCCAGAAAAGUAGGUUUAGAAAUGUAACUGAACAAUUUUUUUCCAAAUUUGUAAUCUGCUGAUUUCAGAGUGGAGCAGUACACGAGGACACUCAACAUUCUCAACAAAGGGAUAGUGAUAGUGACACUGGGCUUGCAGCAUCAGGCUGAUACAUCCCUGCCCCUCUCUUGAGCCCUCUGCUGCCUUAGAGGGUUUGAUAGAGAAACUGGCAAAAGUCCUCCAGGCUGAAACAAAGAAGAGUUAAAAUGAAGGCACAGAGCAAACGAGCUGCUUUAUUUGUAUUAUAUUUUCUGUCUCUUAAGUAAUCCCAUCACUGCUUGCACAGAAGCAGCAGGCUGAGGUGUCAUUUUACCAGCGCAGAAGUGUGUGCAACAUCAGCUGUCACAGCAGAAUUAUUUUGUGGUUUCUUUGAGAUCACAGGCUCUUCAGUUCUCCCUCUGGUGGGCUGUGGGACCUGAGGACAGCAGGUGAUAUGAUGGGAAGGACAAAGAUCAAAGACAGCACUGAAACCUGCCCCCUGCCUCGAAGAGACCAGUUAUCCAAGCUGAGUGGGGCAUAUCCACAGCAUCCAUGAGGAGAGGUCACAGCAGCUCACAGCUGGAGCCUGAGUCAUCUCAGAAGCCAUUCAUUCAUCUGUUGCACUAUCUGUAAAUGAGCCCGAGAGGAGUCAGGAUAUAAAGCACCAGGCUGUGGAGGCUGCUAACACAGAACAGUGUGAGAAGAGCUCCUGUUGUGGGAGUCCUUCAGGGCUUUUACUUGGACAUCAUAACUGGAGGAAGAGAAGCUGAAUGCUUUGGUUGUGCUCUGCAAAAUAGGUAUUCUGAAGUCUAGUCCUGUCUCGGGAGGCAGCUUGAAGACCAGCUUCUUAAUCUUUGAAAGGUCAGACCAGUCUUAUGUGACUGUUUAUGUAAAUAAGAAGUUGACCAAAAGCUACUCAUCUUCAUGUACAGCAGGCAUGUGAGGCAAUGGGACUUGUUCAGCCGCUUGUCCAGUAUUUCUUGUGAAGUCAUUAUUGCAUUUCUCCUGCCUUCCACACUUGGGGCCAAAUGUUGCCUUGUUCCUGACUUGCAAAAUGAAAGGAAACAGAGGACACCAGGGGCAGGGAAAUGAGUCUUUGCUUGUUGGCCUGGUACAGAUCCACAGAGCAGGCUUUCUGCUGUAUCACAGUAAUGCUCAAGGAAGAUGGGAAUUGGGUCUGUUCCUGGCCCUGUCGCAGGCCCUGGGGACUCAUUUCCUGGAGGCCUGGGAACUCAUGGGUUCACCUUUCUCUAGAGGAGGUAGCAAAGGUGCCAGUCACUGCAUGCUCUGUGUGAGCAAUAUCCUCAUGAAGUGAAGGCACCCAGAUCCCCUUUCUGGCACCUCGCUCUACUGGAGAGAGGCUUGCAGGCUGCCCUGCUGUGUUUACAGCCUCCCUCACUGUCCAGCUUCCAAGCCUUCCUGUAUCCCCUCCUGAAAAGAACUUUGAUUAUCUCAGAAAACCAUGGGCAGGGCAUGUACAAAGGCUUGUAGUUUAAAAGCAUGUGCUAGAACAAGCGGCAAACUGUCGGGGAAGGAGAAAGCG